rnacentral:lncRNA from 1 species
CCGGGGCGCGCGCCCGAGCGUCUCCGGGUCGCGGUCCCUCAGCGCGGCCGGCGGCGCCCUCAGACCGGCGGGCCGGGUCUCGUGUCCGCCCCCCGGUCGCCUCCGCCCCGAGCGCGGCUCCUCAGGCGAGGCUCCCGGACGCGCGGGGGUCGGCGGAAGGCGCGGGCCGGGGGCGCACGCCCCGCAGCGGGGAGCCGAGGCCGAGGCGGCGCGGCCGCGGGGUCCGGCCGGCGCGUUUCCCGCCCGGCUGUGGUCCGAGGCGUCCGCCGGCGGAAGCCCCCCAGCCCUGCUGCUUCGCUCACUUAACUAGGCCGCCAGCUGGAGCGCGUCUGGGGGCGACGGCAGGGCCCCAGGAGGCCGGGCCGGGGCCUGGCGGCCGGACGCACGGACCCCCUCGGGCCCUUCGCGGCCCGGGGCGCGUGACCCCCGCUCCGGUUCCAUCCGGAACCUGCAGAGUCGCGGCGGCAGCGUCGGCCCCGCAAGGAGGGAGGUUGGGGAGGGUUAGACGGGUUAACAGGCAGAGCCCCGCGCUGCUGUGCCGCUGGGAAGUAAGAUGCCCUGUUUCCCGGGGGCUUCAAGGCAGCAAAGAGCCGCUUAGGAUCCGGGGCGAGGGCGUGUGUUCCGUGGAUGAUGGGGUCGCCGCAACAGCGGCCCGUCAGAUGCCACGUCCACCGCGGAGCUGGGGGCGGGUUGCCCUCCCCGGCGAAAGGGACGUUGCAGAGAUGCUGCAGGAUCCUGGCGGAGGGAGAGCCUGGGGUGUCCGGGUGGGCCCGUGGUGAUCCCGAGGUUAAGUGCGGGAGCGGGGCGAGGGGAGGAGCCGUGAGGGUGGAGGCCGUCCGUGUGCCUUCACCGCCCCUAAACCGGAUGCCCCCGAAAAGGCAGCUGCCGGUGCGCCUGCUGCUUUCGGGCCGUGGGGUUUUCCCGCUGGCUGCUUUAUAAGGUGUUCUUCUCGUAGGUUUGAUUUCUGCUCCUGUGCUAUGUAUGUUUGGGAGCGUGUUCCUUUUUAUUUAUGGUGCUUGAGAUACACCGGACCUCCUGAAUGUGUUGAUCAGUGCCUUUCAUGGGUUCUGGGAAAUUUUCAGCCGUUACCUCUUCACAUGCUGCUUCUGCCCCCACUUUCUUCUCUCCUUCUGUAACUCCAAUUAGGUGUCUGUCAGAUCUUUUCCAUCCACUGUUUCUCUUACCUUCUCUUUUUUUAUAUUUUCUAGAUUACUAAUUCUCUCUUCUAUGGUGUUAAACUUAUGUAUUGAGCUAUUUUGGGGGGGGAGAGGGAAUUUUAGGUUCUAGAAUUUCUACUUGAUUCUUUUAAAAAUCUGUUCGAUUCAUUAUUUUUCUUUAAAGAUUGGCACCUGAGCUAACAUCUGUUGCCAAUCUUUUUUUUCCCUUCUUCUCCCCAAAGCUGUCCAGUCCAUAGUUGCAUAUUCUAGUUGUAGGUCCUUCUAGCUGUGCUAUGUGGGACGCUGCCUCAGCAUGGCCUGAUGAGCGGUGCCAUGUCCAAUCCCGGGAUCCGAACUAUCGAAACCCUGGGCCGGCGAAGUGGAGCACUCGAACUUAACCGCUUGGCCCCAGGGCCGGCCCCUAGAUUCAUUUUUAUAAUGGCUAACUCUUUGCCAAAAUUGUCAAUCUUGGCUUUUAUCUCUUUGAAUAUAGUAGGCAUCGUUGGUGUCCAGUCUGGGUCUCUGAUAGGUCCAAUAUCUGGAGUCCCAGUGGGUCUGUUGUAGGUUCUUCGUUCUAGUUAUUUGUUGUGUAUUGUUUAAGCUGGUUCUUGCUCCUGUUGUCACCUGUCUUUGUAUGCUAGACAUUGUAACAGAAACACUUGAAACCCUAGUGAAACAUAUGAUGAUUUCUUUUCCCCACAGAGGAUUUCAUUUUCUUCUGGCCGGUGCCUCAGGAUGCCAACAAACAGGAUCACUCUAAUCCAGAGCGUUGGGCACUUGGGGGGACUGAUUUAGUCUGGUUCACUCCACCUUCCAGGGUGCUGUCCUUCUGAGGACCAGCUGAAAACAGGUUUACCAGAGUCACCACUCUUGACAGGUCCUAGACUCCAUAUUUUGUUCCCUAGAUUGCUUCUGAAUCUGGAAAUGCCCCCAGGGCAAAAGUGCUCUGCAUGUGUGGACCCUGUCCUCUUCUGCUUCUUGGCCAGCUAAUUUCUCACUCACUACCUGGUUAGCUUUUGAUGAUUUAAAAAUGUUGUUACAGGGUACCUCCAUACUUGGCAAUGUUCAAAAAAUGAAAUAUUAUUAUAGAUUACAAAGGAUAACGCGUAAUAAUAAUGACAACAAUGACAAAAAACUCUACCACUUAUUGAGUACCUUCUGCGUACCAGCCUCUUGGUUGGACCUCUUAUAGUCCUUAAUGUAAGUAGAGGAAAGAUUGGAGACUUGGGUUCUUGUCCUGGCUUGACAACUGAUGAGCCAAGUAACUUAGACAAGACCAACCUCAAGUCCUCCAUGAAGAUCCCUCUCAGUUCUUAAAUUCUGUUAUUCAAAUCUACAUAGAAUUGAACGUCCAAGGCGCCUUGGGAGGAACUUGCCGGUGGUAUGUUAAAUGUUGCAGAGGAACUUCCUGCUAGCCCACCUGCGUUAGUUUCCUAUUGUUGCUAUAACAAAUUACCACAAAUGUAGUGGCUUGGAACAAUGCAAAUUUGUCAUCUUACAGUUCUGGAGAUCGGAAGUCCCAGACGGAUCUCACUGGGCUGACAUCAAGGUGUUGGCGGGGCACUCCUGGAGGCUCUAGAGGAGAAUCCGUUUUCUUACCUUUUCCAUCUUAUAGAGGCUGCCCACAUUCAUUCUUUGGCUGUGAUCCCCUUCCCACAGUUGCAUCACUCCAAGAAUAUAAACAAUAUAAAAUCAAAGUAUUUUAGAAGAGUGGCAAAGAGGCUGGAAAGGAGAUAAAUAAUGUUCUAAGGUUCUCUGUACAUCUGCAGCUUCUCUUUAUAGAGAACUUGCUCUCCGUUUCCUUGCACGCGGCUGUGAGACACUGGCGUCCUCAGCUCCAGAGUUCAGAUAACCACCAUUCCAAAAAAUGGCCAGCUGUUUUAGUUUCAGUUACAAAAUCUAAGGAGAAAGCAACUGACUAGCUCAGUUUUUAUCGGAGUCUACUCCUAGUCCAAUCAAGUUUGUCUAGGGGUGGGGUGGCAGAGUGAAAAUGUGGCUUGCAAAUUCUACUCUGUCAGUUAGGAAGGGUGGAGAAUUGUCAGUGAAAGAUGGUUGCUUUGAGCUAAGCAGACACCCCAAAGGUUGUGUAACACGUUCCACCUAUUGGAUGGCAGCACACAGACGAAGGCCUGAUGGUUGGGAGAGGCAGAUUCAAAUCCAUAAGUAUUUAAUACAUGCUGUCAUUCUGGCUUGCUCCAAAUAAGCCAAUGUCAUAAUCUCUGUAGGAACAUGAUUUUGGUUCUAAGAGACCACAGGCCAUAGUUUAGCCCUGUGGUCCCCAAUCUUUUUAAAAUAUUCCUCUCAGUAUGACCUUUUUAAACAUGCACCCAUAAUAUAUGAAUAUGUAAAUAUUUUAUUAAGGCAUUUCAUGUGAACAUUUUUAUACCGUGAACAAACAUGCAAAUAUAAAAUUUUAAAGAGUGAAAUGAACAAGAUUUUUAAAUGUCUUGCUAAUCAUAAUGGCUUCAUAUUAUCAUUGGUGGAUGUAAAUCCAUAUUUCAAAUAGUCGUCUUGAAAUUUUUGAGCCUCCUCGUGUCAAGUCUGGUUACAUCAUCAUUGUUUUCAUCUCAGUAUGUGGCUGACAAGAGUUCGUACCAGAAGUGGACAAGUGUUGGCUCUGCCGUUUUCUUGUAUUUCAGUUGUACUUUCAUUAUUAGUAUCAGUUAUUUACCAUGGUUUCUUAGGAUUCUUUUUAAGACACUCAGGCGUUUUGUGAUGGUUAGCUUAGUUAAAACUGGAAAAUAUAAUCUAUGAGUUGAUGUAACUGGACUCUCAAACUGCCAGCUGUCAUAAUAUACUAUCACGUGAAGUGUAUUAAGUGCCUGUGUGAGGGAUCCCUUUAGAAUCCUCUGCAUUGGAGGGGGAAUCCCCCUCUUUCCUCAGGAUUGCCCUCAGUGAGAGGGAUUAUGUAGAAAGUGAAAGAAGUUAAUGAUUCAAAGCUCCUCGCUUUCAUGGGCCCCUAAUCCUUUCCAUUCCACUUUCCCCUCUGUCAUACAUCCAUCCUUCGUGUUGGAUGGGUGUUGGACUGGCAGCGGGCAUCUUUUGGGAUCUAAGUGGAAGCUGAAUGGGCUGGUGCAUUUAAUUUGGGUUUAAUGGAAAAGAUGUAUGUGUAAGUUAUCAUUAGCCUUCCUGAUGUAGGAAUGCUUUCCAGGAAUAUUUUUACACUGCCGACUCAUCUAGCUCCUGGGACACGAAGAUGCAAGGCCAGAGGUCAGAUCGUGAUCUGAGUGUGUCCAACCAUGCUGGGUACUAGGAGGAUGGGGGUAGUGGAGGAGAAACAAUUCGAAAUGUAUGGAAUCAGAUACUGUUCUUUAGAGAAUUUGUCUAAAGAGACAUGCAAAAUUAUAAGUGGAAGAUUUGGUUCUCAUUAAUGCCUAGUCAAAAUGGAAGUCUCUACUGGCAGGAAUACACUAAAUAAUGAGGCAUAUAAAAUUAACAACUCACCACACAUUUUUUCUUUCUUUUUUUUUUUUAGAUUGGCACCUGAGCUAACAACUGUUGCAAAUCUUUUUUUUUCUCCCCAAAUCCCCCCAGUAUAUAGUUGUAUAUAUAUAUUUUUUUAGUUGUGGGUCCUUCUAGUUGUGGCAUGUGGGAUACCACCUCAGCGUGGCCUGAUGAGCAGUACCAUGUCUGCACCCAGAGUCCAAACCGGCAAAACCCUGGGCCACCAAAGCAGAGCAUGCAAAGUUAACCACUUGACCACGGGGCCAGCCCCCCAUUUUUUCUCUCCUUAUGAGAAAAAUCACAUGAAAUUGAAAUUUCUGUGUUUCUUUUCUUCUUCUAAAUAACAAUUUGCUUUCAUUCCUUAUUUUGGAUUCAUAAUUUUUUGUUCUUUUUCUUUAAGAAAGCUCCCAAAAUACGGUUGUAUCAGGCCACAAAAAACCUAGAUUCAUGCCUGCCACAUACCUGAGUGACAUGAAACCAUUUGACAUAUGAAUUAAGUAAGAACAAUAGUGUCAAUUCAUAUAUUAAAUAGUCGUUAAACUUAAUUUUUCAAUUUUUUAAAUAAAAAAUAUAAAAGUAUGUGGUCUAAUAUGUUUCCAUAUCUCAGUGAUGAGAUUUGUAUGCUCCCCUUCAGAGACAAUGGGUCAAACCAACUAUUUUGCUAUGGUUGAAUAAGAAAGGCUUGCUGCACGCCUAGAAAAAUGGGGCAUCCCACCCUCCACUGCCUCUCCUUGAAUUGGUCACUCACACAUUUCAAGCACUGCACUUCUGUCACCAAGUUCUGUUAGACUGAACCAUAUAAAAUUGUAGUUUUUAUAGGUCAAAAAUGGUCUAACAUUGGAAAAUUCAUAGGUUCACCAUAGUAUAUCAUUUAGGAUGCAUUCAGCUGCAUGUAAAAGAAACAAGACUCAAAUUGACAUAAACAAUAAGGAAACAUAUUGUGAGGAUAUUGGUGAACUCACAAAAUUGACUAAAAGGCUUUAGAAGCAAGUUUGGAAAACAGGCAGAAACCAAAGAAGGCAAAGUAGAGGUUUGAGACCCAACUCUGUCAUUUUGACCCAACUGUGCCAUUUUGAGCAAGAGUUACUUAACCUCAAUGGGACCUGUUGAAAAAAAUGGGGAUAAUAAUAUCUACCUCAAAUGGAGCAUUAGGUUAAGGAUGAGAGGAAUGGAAAGGGGCCAACAAUUAUUGAGCAUAGAGUAAUGUGUGCCAGUCCCUGAGAUGAAUGCUUUAUAUGCAUCAACUCAAAUUAGAAAGUAUAUGUACAGUGUGGGGGAUGGGGGAGUUGGUAAUCCUUAGAAGCACAGAUAUCACUUUAGCAUUCUCUGGGAGGAUGUGUCAGUCACAACCUAGCAGGAAAGAGAUGGCACACUCAACGGGAAAAAUGGAGGAGAAUUUAAUGGAGUAACCAUUUAUGAGGGUGUGGGCAGAGUUAGGAGACACCAAUAAAGGAUGAUGAAGCACUGUAGGGCAAGCCUGGAGGGACAAAGGAGUAGUCAGCAACUAAAACUCAGGAAGAGACGUGUGAGAGCAGGUGCCCGACUCUGCUGUGGCCUGCCGUGGAGGCACAGUGCAGAGCACCCGGAAAACAAAGACCUGAUAUUACUCCUCUCUCGACCUUAGACCUCCUAGUAGGGCCUCCCAUCAGUUAAACCCAACUGGAAGUCAGAGGGAAAGAGGUACCAUUGAUAUGGUCCAAGAAGGUCACCCACUGGGGCAGAGAGCAGGGUGGAAAAGGGUGGAAAGUGGAUUCGCAGGGGCAGAGGAGAAUAUCUAGCACAGAAAGUGUAGAAAUGAGCAAAGUUACCUCGUAUAUAUGUUCUCUUGUGGGAUCAGAAAGAUUUAAUCCACCUGUUUGGAGACCAGGGACUUCAGAGAAAGGAUCUUUCUAGGCUGGGCUUACAUCAGAACCUGCCUUGUUCUAAAUUCUAGCUCAAGGGUGAUGAGAUUAGAGUGUGUUAGUCAACUCUGAUUAAGCCUUCCACAAGGCCAAUUCAGUGAUUAAAUUAACAGUGAGCACUUACACCAGUUUUUAAAAAUGUCUGCUCGUCACUCAAAGUCAAGAAGAAAUGUUGCAUCUCAAGAGCUAGGUAAGCUGUUAUGGAGCAUGGGUUCUGACUAGCAAGCUGCUGUAUCCCAAACUCCAUCUCAUUUUCAUGGAUCCUCCCCAAAUUAAGCUAAUCCUGCCACUCACCCCUUUUUCUGUAUGUGGUCUCUCUUCUUCAGUAAACAAUCCCGAUUACAUGGGGCCAGGAAUGGAACUACCUAGAUCAAGUUACAAACUCUGCACUAGCCUCCAACAGCAUUAAGAUGGGCCUUGGAAGCAAGCAGAGCUGAAGAAAAGAAGGACUGCUGGGAAGGCCCCGUUGCCUGAAGCUGUGAUGUCCCAGGAAUCAAGGGAGCAGGCCCAGCAUGGGGCCACAUGAGGAGCUGGAUCUGCAGACUGAGGUUAUAGGUCCUUCUAGUUCUGCUAUAUGGGACCCCACCUCAGCAUGGCCGGAUGACCAGAUGAGUGGUGCUAGGUCUGCACCCAGGAUCCGAACCAGCGAACCUCGGACGCCAAAGCAGAGCAUGCGAACUUAAGCACUCGGCCACAGGGCCAGCCCCUAAGCAUGAAGUUUAAAUGGAAUGUUUAACAAAUGGAUGGGUCUGCAUUUUGGAGGAGGUCAUUUAGAACAGGCUUUGAAUAGUUUUGACAGCAGCAAGUCCUUCACCUGAUGCUUUGUUUAAUUUAAGCCUUCUAACCAAAUGAGAUACAUGAGGAGAUAUUCCUGGGUACCAACUAGUGAAGACCUUGGAACUACAAAUGUCAAUGUAGUCUUAGGAUGAUACUGGCAGGAAGGAGGCCUCGCAGGUCAGCUGAGAUUUGUGCAUAUCUGUGCUUACCAUAAAUAAUUAUGUGCCCAGAUCCAUCUUCUUCAUUGGUUCUGGCAUCCCACAACGUUCAUGAAAGUGAAUUUUAGGCAAUAGGGUUACAUUUGAAGAGAUCCCGUCUGAUCUGUCCGCGUUCCUUUUGCACACCGCUGCACCAACCCAGGUAACGAUCAGUGGAGGGUUGACUGAGCUCCCAGGACUCCAACUCCACCAGCCUCCCAGGUGACGUCCUGAGACAGUGCUUCUCAGACCCUCCUCCUCAGGUUCGGUGGGCAUGCCCUCGAGGGAUAAUAAGUGUACCCCAAAAGCACCAGUCCUAAAUGCGUAGCCUGAUGAAUUAUUGCAUAUGUAUCCCCUUGUGUCAUCACCACCCAGAUCAGGAUAAAGAAAACUUCCAGCACCUCACAAGAGUCCCUCUUGCUUCUUCCCAGUCUGCAUCCCAACCCAACGGGAGGUAAUCACUAUCCUCACUUCUGUUGUCAUUGACUAGUUUUGCCUGUUCUUAAACUUUGUAUAAGUGGAACCAUACAAUAUGCAUUCUUUUAAAUGUGGCUUCUUUCACUUAGCUUAAUACCUAUGAGAUUCAUCAUGUUGUUGCAUGUACCAGUAGUUUGUUUUUUUCUUUUCUUUUUAGCUCAUAGCUAUAUUCUUUCCCCACCCAGUUUUACUGAGAAAUAAUUGACAUUCAUCACUGUAUGUUGUUUCUAACUGCUUUGUAGUAUUCUAUUUUAUGCAUACACCACAAUUUAUCUAUUCUUCCAUUGAUGGGCAUUGAGUGGUUUCCAGUUUGGCUAACAUGAAUACAGCUGUGAUGAACAUUCUUAUGCACAUCCUUUGUGAACAUAUAUACCCAUUUCUCUUGGGUAAAUUCCUAGAACUGGAAUUGCUAUCACGGGGUCAGCUACAUUUAGCUUUAGCAGAAACUGCAAAUUUGCUUACAAAAUGGUUACACUAUUUAUAUUUCCAUCAGCAACGCAUAAGAAUCCCAGUUCAUCCACAUCCUUGUCAUCAUUUGCACUGUUGAUCCUCUUAAUUUUAGCCAUUCUGGUUGGUGUCUAGUGGUAUUUCAUUGUGGUUUUAACUUGCAUUUCCCUAAUGAGUAAUGACACUGAGCACAUUUUCAUAUGCUUAAUGGAUGUUUGGAUGUCUUAUUUUGUGAAAUGCCUGCUCAAGUCUUAUAUCCGCUUUUAGGUGAGUUCUUCAUUUUUUUCUUAUUGAUUUGUAGGAGUAAUUUACAUAUUCCUAACAUGUCUUUUGUCAGAAAUAUGUACUGUGAAUAACUUCUCCAUUGUGUGAUUUGUCUUUUUAUUCUCUUAAUGGUAUAUUCUAAUGAAAUAACUUUAAUGAAGUCCAACUUAUCAAGUUUUCAUAGCAGUGCUUUUUGAGUCCUGGUUAAAAAAUUUUUGCCUAUGCCAAUGUCAUGGUAUCAAUCAGGUUUCAGCUAGAGAAGCAGAACCACUGGGAUAUACAUAUUAAGAGAUUGUUGCAAGGAAUUGUCUUAUGUGAUUGUGGGGGCCUGCUAGGCAAGUUCAAAAUCUGUAGGGCAGGCUGUCAGGAAGGACAGGAUGGAACUUUUGGCAUGGGCUGAAGCUGCCAUCCACAGGUGGAAUUUCUUCUGCAUCAGGGAAGACACACUCUGCUCUUGAGGGCUUCCACUGAUUGAACCAGGCCCAUCCAGAUUACCUAGGGUAUGUACCUUACCUAAAGUCAACUUUAAUCACAUUCAAAAUACCUUCAUGUACCACCUAGAUUAGUGUCUGACUGAAUGACUGAGGCCUAUAGCCUAGUUAAGUUGACACAUCCAAAGAUCCGCAUAGUCAUAGGCAAAUGCUUCUGUUUUCUUCUAGAGAUUUUAUUGUUUUACCUUUUUCAUUUAGUUGUGUGAUCCAUCUUGUGAUAAUUUUUGUGCAUGGUAUAAAGCAGGGGCCAAAGCCAAGUGGGGUAUCGUUAUGGAGCAGCAAUGUGGUCAGAGAAGGUGGACUCUGGCCCCCGCCACAGGAAAUGAGUCACAGAUUGAUCCAAGCCAAUCGUGGUCAUGCUAUAUUCCUCUCAUUUGUUUAGCAAAUGUUUAUUAAGUACUUACUAUGUGCCAAAGGGAUUCUCAGUUCUGAGAAUACAGCAAUGACUAAUAACAGGUAAAGUCCCUGCUCUCAUGGAAUCUCCCUUUGCAAGUGAUUGGAUAGAGACUAAGUAUGAAACCCUGCUCUGAGCACUGGGACCUGAGGAAAGUAUGUUGUGGACCUCCAGGGAGGGUGUCUGUCCUUCACGAAAGGGAGACUUUCAGAGAAACCCCCUGCCUUGCAUGUGGGAGUUCACGAUAUUUGGUGCUGCUGCUGUCGAGCUCUGACCUGUAGGUUAAAACCCAGAGAAUGACAGAGAAGCCAGCCCAGAGCCCCGCCACCUUUGAGCUCCUUUGUUAGCCUAUCUCAAGGUUUCUUAUGUGACAGAAUUAAAUAUUCAUAUUGUUUAAGCCACACUCAGGCAUUCUAUUACUUGUAGCCAUAUAUGCGUAGAUUUCUUGGCAUGACGCCUCUGCUCUCUAAUUUGUGCCAUAACGCGUCUCAGUUCCCUGCACCAUCCGGCCCCAGCCUUAACUCUGCCUUCCAUCUUAGACACACUCACACCACAGACGUUCACCGGCUCCCGUCCUAACUCGCUUUGAUCUUUAGAGAACUAAUUUGAUCCCUUCUGCUGUGAUCACUCUGCCCCAAAGUUUCCACCUCAAACAUACAUCCACCUCGCCGCUCCUGCCACGUCCCUCUUCCCUUUCUAGUUUGACCACCAUCCCCCCAACCUCACACACACCAAGCCCCAGUUAAAGAGGUAGGCGCCGGAUUACGGUUGUUCAGUGUUGGAGCCAGAGUUGGUGCAAUUUUGAUGCAAAGCCACACGAAAUAUGGUGCUGUGGAGGAGCAGAAACUACGAGCCUUGCCAAGAAGCCAGACCUCAGAGACUGUUCACGGACACAGAGCAGCGCUGAGAGAACACGCUGUCGCAGAGAAUCAGAGGAAAGGUGCCUGAUGAUUUCUGGGUACCGUAUGGCCUGACUAUCCUUACUGCGACUGAGUUCCUUGGAAGGCCCCUGUCUUCUCGUAGUGAAACUGCUUCAACUAUUUAACUAUAAAAGCCUCCUUGAAGAGGUUUCUGUUUCUUGAAAACAAAUCACUAGACUAGGUGGCUCUUGCAGUCCCCAAAGGGGUCUUACUCUGUCAAGUGUACAAUUCCCUCUGUUAGAGAAUGGUAGCAGGUGUUUGGGAGUCGAGCAGGUAUCUGGUAAGCACACUUUCAAGCAUCCAGCAAUACCUUCUGCACAUUCCAGCCUAGGAUCCUCCGACAGGGGACAAACCCUUCCUCCAUCCUUCCUCAGGGAGGGCUCCUAAAUUCCUAGAGCUCCCUUUCUUGAGAAGCCAGGGGAAGCAUUUAACUCUUCUGUCUUAAUUUGGGCCGUUCUUCCCCAAAACAGAGCCUGGGACAAGGACUUGAGUUCUGAUAGUUUAUUUGGGAGGAGGGAGAGAGGGCGACAGGCAGAGUGACCAGCAGAGAGAGUGGUGCCUUAGUGGGCUGGCUACCACCACGGUGACGGGGGCUCAACUCUGCUGGAAACUUGCUGAAAACCCAUGUGGGAUGUGCCCUGGGGCCCAUCUACUCUGCCCACCACUGGGUCGGGUUUGCCCCAGGGCGUUAAUUCCCCUGUACUUUUGGGCUGUCCUGCACAACGGGUGAAGGAACUCCUGUGGCUUCAGAAAAACCUCAGAGGCAGAAGAGCCGAAAGUCACAGGGGCCCCCCCUGUGGGACCUGGCAGUGAGCAUGGGAACAGUCUGACUUCAGCUGAGGAGGUGGGCUGAGGGAUGUGUCAGAAACCAUUGUCUCCAUCCCUUCUUUGGGAUAAGGGUUUUAUCCUAGUAUCAUUCAACCUGACUGUGGGGCCCCAAAUCAGAGACCCUAGAAGUAAAUAUGGCUGUCUCUGUGACAGACUGCUAUCUGCUAACCAGAAAUCCACGUUCUCUCCCUCCUGGGCGCUCUGCUGACCCUAAUUCCCAGCCUCCCUUGCAGCGAGGUGUGGCAACUGCCUGAGAUCCACCCAAUGGAAUGUGAGCAGAAGUGAUCGGCCCCAUCCCCAGGCCUGGCCACAGCAUCCUCCCGCACCUUCCUCUCCAUGUUUUCUCCCCUCUGCUGGCUCAGUGUUGAUUCUCGGGUGACCUGUGAAACCACCUGCUGAUGGUAGUAGUGCCUCUGCCAGCCUGGCUCCUUGCACGACCGCACACAACAUGGCAUCUCCCCCGCCCCCUCCUCCCACUGCCCCAGCCCCACCUCACUGCCUGGAGCUUCCUUGCUCUGAGAGAGAAAUGAACUCCUAAGGGGUUGGUAUAUACAGCAGCCAGCCUACCCUAACUCAUAUACCCACCAUAGUGCCGUACCCUUCCCUGGCACAGAAAUCAGUCUUCAGGUGUCUCUGAACUACACUGUUUAUGAAAGGCUUGAAAGUUUAUAAAGAUAAUUAUAAAAUUAACUCAUGCACAUGUAAAGAAAUCAAGCAAUACAAAAGAGUCCAAAAUCAAGGAAGAGUCUCCUGUCUCCCUUCUCACCCCAUUUCCAGCCCCACUUCCAUUAGGUAGCCUCUUUUUUUUUUUUGAGGAAGAUUAGCCCUGAGCUAACAUCUGCCACCAGUCCUCCUCUUUUUGCUGAGGAAGACUGGCCCUGAGCUAACAUCCGUGCCCAUCUUCCUCUACUUUCUAUGUGGGACGCCUACCACAGCAUGGCUUGACAAGCAGUGCCAUGUCCACACCCGGGAUCCAAACCAGCGAACCCCGGGCUGCCGAAGCAGAACGUGCGCGCUUAACCACUGUGCCACCGGGCCAGCCCAGCAUUUUCUAGAUUGCAAAAAUAACAAACUCCUAACUGACUGUUCGGUAACGGGAACAGUCGUGAAUCCUUAAAGGACAUGAAUAAGUCACGGAGAGGGUCUGCGUCACACUGGACGUGCGACUGUGAAUGGAAAGACCCAUGUCAGGCUUUCAGACUCGGAAAAGUAAGUCGCUGGAUCUGAGAAUUUAGCUGAAUUUUGAUUAACUCCAGGUUCAGCUGGGAGGACAGUGUAAGGAAAGAAGGAAGAUGGGAAUAUGGCUCAACAUCCCUCUUGAACUUCUCUGUCAGAAGGAAGUCCUGCCAGGAUAGCGGCUGGGAGCCCUGUUUUAAAUAGGCGUUAGUUGCCAGGACAGUAAAUCAUCUGACGUGCAAAUGAGUG